AGCGAACGCUGGCGGCAGGCCUAACACAUGCAAGUCGAACGAACUCUUCGGAGUUAGUGGCGGACGGGUGAGUAACACGUGGGAACGUGCCUUUUGGUUCGGAAUAACUCAGGGAAACUUGUGCUAAUACCGAAUGUGCCCUUCGGGGGAAAGAUUUAUCGCCAUUAGAGCGGGCCACGUCUGAUUAGCUAGUUGUUGAGGUAACGGCUCACCAAGGCGACGAUCAGUAGCUGGUCUGAGAGGAUGAACAGCCAAACUGGGACUGAGACACGGCCCAGACUCCUACGGGAGGCAGCAGUGGGGAAUCUUGCGGAAUGGGCGAAAGCCUGACGCAGCCAUGCCGCGUGAAUGAUGAAGGUCUUAGGAUUGUAAAAUUCUUUCACCGGGGACGAUAAUGACGGUACCCGGAGAAGAAGCCCCGGCUAACUUCGUG
rnacentral:rRNA from 1 species